rnacentral:lncRNA from 1 species
GAUACUGCCUGAUAUGGGGAGCCUUGGCUCCUGGACAGGAGCCUGACUCCUGGCUUAUUACAGGGAUGGCAGCUGGUCUACAGAACUGCACAUCUAUGCUGAACAGGCUAAUCCUACUCAAGACUUGACCAGUUCCAGCUUUGAGCCACGUGAAGGCCAACUGCCCUGAGAUGAUGAGCUCCUGCUUCCAAAUUGGUUUGUUUUGUUUUUGCCUUUUAAAAACCGUCUUGAGUUUAUUAUGGCCAAAGGCUAGGUGAGCGGGGAACCUGCUCAUAGCCGACCUUGAGAAAUGUAGGCAGAACGUCCAUUGGCAGCAGAGAGCUGAGGAAGUGUUGGGCUGAGCCUUACAAGAGAUGCUGCAGCAGAAGCCUGAGCUCUCCCUUCUGAUGGCUGGCUGGGAAGUCAGACACUAUUCUCGGAGGUCCAACUUCACAGCGAGGAAGGCAAGACAUCUAAACAGAAGGUCACUUUCCCUUAGAUUGCUUCUAAGGCUUAGAAGAACAGAAGGAACAUAAAUGCCUUUAAUUUGCAGGCUGAGUUGGAUGAAAGGAGGUCUUAAGGCUCUC